AAUGAAGAACGCAGCGAAAUGCGAUAAGUAAUGUGAAUUGCAGAAUUCAGUGAAUCAUCGAAUCUUUGAACGCACCUUGCACCCUUUGGCAUUCCGAAGGGUAUGCUCGUUUGAGUGUCAUUGUACUCUCACACUUCCAAUUCUUUGGAUUGGGAGCGGUGGACUUGGGUGCUGCUGCUUACCGUGGCUCACCUCAAAUGUGUUAGUGCAACUCUUGGUUGGACAUAGUACGGCGUGAUAAGUGUCUUCGCCGGCGCCUCUGUAAGGAGGGUGGCCGAUCGGGAGCUCUGUGCUUCAAACCGUCUUCGGACAAUCUUUGACAACUUGACCUCAAAUCGAGUAGGACUACCCGCUGAACUUAAGCAUAUCAAUAAGCGGAGGA
rnacentral:misc_RNA from 1 species